CUGCCUCAUGGGUUCACUGGAGACCUCUGAGAAAGGAGGGAUCCAUCUCCUUUUUCUGCAGACAGCUUCCCUUGAUACAAAGCCUCUCUCUUCAUCAUGUUGUGGUCUGGAGCAUGCAAGGAGACCUCAUUCCCAAGCUUGUAUCUCCAAGCCAUCUGCAGAUGGACAGUUGACUGCCAGCAGUUGGAACAGAUCUGGUCUUUCAGAAGCACAUCCUGCCCUGCUGGCAGAGCAUCCACAAGCAGAGCCACCAUUGUCUCAGACUCAAUCUCCUGGAGGUUGCUCAGGGGAUGCUCACUCUCAAAUUGCAUUUUAUCUUUCAUUGGAAGUCAAAAGAGCAGAUCCCAAUUAUGCAGCUUUGCUGCUGUCCCCAGCCUAGAGGAAUGUUACUGCUUCCCUUGGAGAGUUACGAGUCCAAGAGUCACGUUUCAGCCUGUUACUGAAACCUGGCAGCAUGAACGUGAACAGAGAAAGGUUUCUGCCUCCACGUGAAUCCCUGCUCUGGACCGUGUGGGUUUCUACUGCAGGACCUUGACCUCAGGCCAGAUGAAGGUGACCACAUGAUGUCAAGUACAAGAUGAAGCAAUUAGGGGAGGUGGACUCUGUGCCUAGCUCCACCGCUGCCUUGGACCUCUGGCCCCUCUGCCUAUGAUGGCUGUCUCCUUAUACAGAAACAGCUCAUGGCUGAAUACCAGAUCCUGCCAGCAUCUGCUCUGGACAUGGAGGCAAAGUGGGCUGCAAUGGCUGGAAAACUGCUCUGCCAACAGCACUGCACCAGGGCUGCCCCUUGCCUGCUGCUGCUAUGCCACGGGGCCAGGGUCCUUAAGCAUGUACCAGACGCAGAUCUCAAGAAUCUCCACAUCAUGUCACUUCUGCAAAGCUUGGCUGGACCAUCUCAAGCCAGAGGUACCUGAUAAAGCUCCUAUUA